GCCACUGUCCCCAGCAAGGUCUCCAGCAGCGCCGGCCACUACGAACUGCCAUGGGUUGAAAAAUAUAGACUAGUAAAGCCGAAUGAAGUUGUUGGGAAUAGGACACUGUGAGCAGGCUGGAGGUCUUUGCAAGAGAAGGGAAUGUGCCUAAUAUCAUCAUCACUGGCCCCCCAGGAACUGGCAAAACUACAAGCAUCCUGUGUUUGGCACAAGUCUUGCUGGGCCCAGCACUAAAGGAUGCUGUCUUGGAACUCAAUGCUUCAAAUGACAGGGGCAUUGAUGCUGUGAGGAAUAAAAUCAAAAUGUUUGUUCAACAAAAAGUCAUGCUUUCCAAAGGUCGACACAAGAUCAUCAUCCUGGAUGAAGCGGACAGCAUGACUGAUGGAGCCCAGCAAGCCUUGAGGAGAACUAUGGAGAUAUACUCUAAAACAACUCACUUUGCACGUGCUUGUAAUGCUUCUGAUAAGAUCAUAGAGCCCAUCCAGUCCCGGUGUGCCGUCCUCCACUAACCAAGCUGACUGAUGCCCAGAUACUGGUGCAGCUGCUAAACGUGAUCAAGAAGGUGAAGGUGCCGUACACUGAUGAUGGCCUGGAAGCCAUCAUCUUCAUAGCCCAGGGAGACAGGUGGCAGGCAUUGAACAACUUGCAGUCCACUUUCUCAGGAUUUGGCUUCACCAACAGUGAGAAUGUAUUCAAGGUCUGUGAUGAGCCCCACCCUCUGCUUGUGACGGAGAUGAUCCAGCACUGUGUGGAUGCCAACAUUGAUGAGGCCUACAAAAUUCUCGCUCACCUGUGGCACCUGGGCUAUUCAGCAAAAGAUGUCUUUGGCAAUAUUUUUCGAGUGUGUAAAACUUUCCAAAUGGCAGAAUACUUGAAAUUGGAGUUUAUUGAGGAAAUUGGAUACAUUCAUAUGAAAUUAACAGAAGGAGUGAACUCCCUUCUGCAGAUGGCAAGGCUUCUAGGCAGGCUGUGUCAGAAGACAAUGGCGCUGGUGGCCAGUUAG